GAGAAAUGAGGAUAAUUUAAAUGGUCAGAAAGUGUAUGUUUGACUGCUAAAGAUCCAACUCUGAUCUCACUGUGAUA